CUAUGGUGAGUGCAGAUAUCAGUUUACGUAUUAGUGCCUGACUAAACAUGAUCCUCAACUCGAAAUUCGGUUUUAUUUUAUUUUUUACAACUUUGUUAAUUUUGUGCAGUUUUUUUAACCAUGUGAAAUCGAAACAGUUCCGCUGCCUGCCACCUUACCAUACGUGUAAACCAGGGAGUGGAGCUUGUUGUGACGAUUUGGGCUGUAAUAAAGGGUCUGACGGCGAAUUUUUUUGUGAACCUGCUGCACAAAAACGUAGACAUUGAGCAGUGUAGAUUAGGAAAUAUAUUUCAAAAUGUGUCAUAUUUUUAAGAAAUUGUUUGUAAUAAAUUUGCCUGAAUUCUAAAAUUGUA